rnacentral:rRNA from 1 species
AGUGAAUAGAUACCCAGGUAGUCCUAGCCGUAAACGAUACUCGCUAGGUGUCGGCCACGGUGCGACCGUUGUCGGUGCCGUAGGGAAAGCCGUGAAGCGAGCCACCUGGGAAGUACGGCCGCAAGGCUGAAACUUAAAGGAAUUGGCGGGGGAGCACCACAACGGGUGGAGCUUGCGGUUUAAAUUGGAUUCAACGCCGGAAAUCUUACCGGGACCGACAGCGAUAUGAAGGCCAGGCUGAAGACUUUGCCGGAUUAGCUGAGAGGUGGUGCAUGGCCGUCGUCAGUUCGUACUGUGAAGCAUCCUGUUAAGUCAGGCAACGAGCGAGACCCACGCCCACAGUUGCCAGCGUACUCUCCGGAGUGACGGGUACACUGUGGGGACCGCCGCUGCUAAAGCGGAGGAAGGAAUGGGCAACGGUAGGUCAGUAUGCCCCGAAUAUCCCGGGCUACACGCGAGCUACAAUGGUUGGAACAAUGGGUAUCUACCCCGAAAGGGAUGGAAAUCUCCUAAAUCCAAUCUUAGUUCGGAUUGAGGGCUGCAACUCGCCCUC